rnacentral:lncRNA from 1 species
AAGAGAGGAGGAUGGAGGCUUCAGAAUUGAAGGAACCAGUAGGAUUUGGGGAUGAAGUACUGUGGCUACAUGUAAAGAUUUGAGAACCAAGUGUAAACUGGUGCAGUGUUUCAGAGCCCAUUAUGACAAUCUGUACGGUGUUAUACCGAUGCCUUUAUUGCAGCACAGUCCAUUUGUGAAAGGGGAUGACAAGAAGUGGAGAAGAAACUGAGAAGAAUCUGUAGAACAGCUACUGCUUCAGAGGUAUGGGAGUUUGUUAGGUUAUGAAUGAAAAAUCACUGAAAUACGAACUUAACUAUUCUGUUUAGUAUCUUGGUUUUGUUCCUGCAAAAGUCAUUAUGUAUGUAAAAGCCAGUACGUGAUAAAGAUGAAUCCAGUGCCUGGAACGUGGGAAAGGAAUGGAGGUGGUGUCACAUAGGUGGUGCUGUCUCACAUAAAAGUAAGAUGUUUGGUCCUGUAUGGGGUGGUGCAGGUCAUCUGUGUGUUUGAGUGAUAUUAAGGUGUGAAGUGGGAGCUGCUACUA